rnacentral:rRNA from 1 species
CCUACGGGAGGCAGCAGUGAGGAAUAUUGGUCAAUGGACGGAAGUCUGAACCAGCCAUGCCGCGUGCAGGAAGACGGCUCUAUGAGUUGUAAACUGCUUUUGUACAAGGGUAAACCUGAAUACGUGUAUUCAGCUGAAAGUACUUUACGAAUAAGGAUCGGCUAACUCCGUGCCCUCAGCCGCGGUAAUACGGAGGAUCCAAGCGUUAUCCGGAUUUAUUGGGUUUAAAGGGUGCGUAGGCGGAUUGAUAAGUUAGAGGUGAAAUGUCCGAGCUUAACUCGGGAACUUCCUCUAAUACUGUUGAUCUAGAGAGUAGAUGCGGUAGGCGGAAUGUAUGGUGUAGCGGUGAAAGGCUUAGAGAUCAGACAGAACACCGAUUGCGAAGGCAGCUUACCAAUCUAUAUCUGACGUUGAGGCACGAAAGCGUGGGGAGCAAACAGGAUUAGAUUCCCCAGUAGUC